rnacentral:lncRNA from 1 species
AUUGCCAUGGUCCAACCAUGGUCUUUUCCGUCAAUGCGUAUGAGUCACUGGAUGAAAGUACUCAAUCCAAUGUUCCACUAAAUUAGAACUUUUAUUCAAACAUUUAUAUUUUCACAAUCAUCGCAGUUUAAUAACAUUUGUAAUGCCCAAUUUUUGCCCGGGCCCGUACAUGAAUAAACAUCAAAAAAAUAAUAAAACAAUAAAGCCAAAAUUAGACCAAAUAAACCCAAAAAUAAAAUGCAGCCCAGUCGCAUGUAGCCCAAUAACUAGCCUAAAACACAAAACAAAAUCAGAAACCCUAGCAGUUAGCAGCAUCUCAGCCGCCGCACAGAAGAAUCAGGCCUCUCCACGCACGAAUGCACAGCAGUCUCGCACAACGCACGUCUUCCACGUACCUACAGCAAACCACGAGCCACGAACAGUAGAGAUAGGAGGAAAUAUAGCAAAAAUUAAAGAGAUUUUGAUUUUUAUUAUUCUUCUCUAGGAUUCAGAUAUAAAACCGAUUAAGGCAUUUGUAAAUGGGGGGUUACACAGAUUAAGAGAAGACAAGAAAUUGAGAGGGAAAGGGUUACGAAAAUUGUAACAAAAAACGUUUAAAAACAACACAGAGAAUCCAAUAGUAAAUUGGAGAGGUGAUUUUCUCUUUGGGUUUUUUUUUCCAUUUUUUUCCUUUUGAUUUACUGUUUUGUGCAUAAAACGAAAGGGAAAAGAAAAGGAAGGAGAAUACUUGAGUGCGUUGAGAGGCUCUCGCAUUGAUUCCGACUGCCCUUCGUGACGGAUGCUCAGCGGGGAAAGGAGGUUUGCUGGCGGCGCGCCGCUAGGGUUAAAACCCUAGCAGAGGAAUUUCUUUAUUGUUUUAAAAAGCAACAGUUUAAAA